rnacentral:lncRNA from 1 species
UAACACAGGAAAACAUACCCGGAAGCUUCCGCUUUUGAGAAUUGAACCAAUUUGAGGUAGAGAGUACUUGGUUUAACAUCUUAUAAAACUGGAAGAAUUAAUUUUUAAAGUUUACUGAUGCUUAAAAUAAGUCUAAUUUUGUCUGAAGACUGCCAUUCAGUUAGUAAAAGGCUUACUAAUUUUGCAAUUAAGUGAAAAUGGACAGUGUCUAACUAACAGGCCAAUUUUUUUUUCCACAGCAUCCCCCAAAAUCUCACCUUGUAACCUUGCUGGCUUAGAUCAUGCUGGCUUACAGCUUUGGGUGAGCCUCCUUCCUCAGCACCUGGCUUGUCUCUUGGUUUUGAAAGGGGAAUUUCUGGCUUGAGGGUCAUGAGUACCUGACAAUCCUUUGGAAUUGUGUAUAAGGUUUCGUGCAUUUUUCCAGUCAAAGGAAGUUAGCUUUCAUCGGUUUCUCAGACUAGUCCAUGCCCUCAAAAAGGAGGCUGAGGAUUGAAACCAUCAAGAUUGAACAGUGCUAGAAUAUUUAUAAUUUACUCAUUUGAUUUUGCUGCAGUAGAUUUCUAAAUGGAAGGUGGCUCUUUAACAAGGUAGGUUAUGAUGGCCUCAGAAAUACUGUAUUCAUUGGGUUCUUUAUAAACCCUGGGUGAAGCUUAGCGAGGUUGCUAUUUAGGAAACUGUACUAUCAGCUUUCCUUUGCUAACUUAGACUCAUUAGCAAGGUCACUCAGAAUAGAGUAGCUUAGAAUGAGCCUCAAAGAUGAUAGAAAAAUAAAGAUCAGAACCCUUUAAGCUCCAUGCAUUCAAGCUCUCACUUGCUCCUCCAAGUUUGUUGUUCAGGCCAGAACAUACUAAACUUACCAAUAAAUAUAAAUGCUAUAGUUUUUUUACAUAUAUAUUUUGUAUAAACAAAUUUAUGUUUAAAUCAGUAACUACCUAGUAAAUCAUACAAAGCUUGGGAUUUGUGCAGAUGGUUGAAGGAAAUCAGUCUCACUAAUGACAACUGUUCCUUAGGACUUUCUAAGGGAAUUUUAUAAGGUCCUUUCCAAGUUUUCUGUUUUGGAAACAAUCUAAUAAUUUUGUAUUUGAAUUUAAUUGAACACAAGAUUAUCAAAUUUGUUAAAAUGUUUUAAAGACUUAUUUUUGAUUAUGUGAUUGUGGGUGUGUAAUGUGAGUGCAGUGCCCACAGAGGCCAGAAAAGGAUACCUGAAGAACCCCUGAAGCUGAAGUCAUAGCUGUUGUAAGCUGCUCAACAUGGGUGCUGGGAACCAAACUUAGGUCCUCUGGAAGAGCAGUCAGAAUUCUUCACUGCUGAGUCAUCUCUCUAGCCUCUAAAUGUGUUAAAAUUUUAACCUGACUUUUGAAAAGACCCAUAUAGAAUAUCUUUGAUGGCCAUGGUGCUGCAUCACACCACAGUGUUUGUACAGUGGCUGCAGCUGGAUAGUUGUGUGGUACUUGUUAGUUUUGUCUUAUUUUAUAAUUGUAUACAUGAGCUUCAUUUGUCUGGAAUAAGUAAUCUAAUAAACGUUCUUUGAU